rnacentral:rRNA from 1 species
UACAGAGGUCUCAAGCGUUGUUCGGAUUCAUUGGGCGUAAAGGGUGCGUAGGUGGCGGGGUAAGUCAGGUGUGAAAUUUCGGAGCUCAACUCCGAAACUGCAUUUGAUACUGCCUUGCUUGAGGACUGGAGAGGAGACUGGAAUUCACGGUGUAGCAGUGAAAUGCGUAGAUAUCGUAAGGAAGACCAGUGGCGAAGGCGAAUCUCUGGACAGUUACUGACACUGAGGCACGAAGGCCAGGGGAGCAAACGGG